AUUUAGAGUAUUGAGGGAAAAAUAACUACCAAACUAGAAUUGAGAACCCUGAAAAAUUUGCUUUCAAAAGUGAAGGAGAAAUAAAGACUUUUCAGACAAACAAAACUUGAGGAAAUCUGUUGCCAGUAGACUUGCCUAGCAAAAAAAAACGUUGAAAGAAGUUAUUUAAAGAGAAGAAAAAUAAUAUAUGUCAGAAACUUGGAACAACAUAAAAAAAGAAGAGCACUGGAGAAAGAAGACCCAAUUCAGCUAGAAGAGAAGUUCAAUUGUCAUCCUAUCUCAAUCUUAUAGUCUUAAAGAAAAUUUCUUCAAAAAUAUUAUAUCAGCUGCUUUCUGCAAUUGAAACAUAUUUUCUUAAGAGACAACAUAAUCUUGAAAAGUGACCAGUGUUGCUGAGUGACUCAAGUAACUGGUGGCUUUUCCUGUGCAGCUGGCUUCUGGGGACUGUUCAGGUAAAGUUGGAAGAUGAUGCAGAAACAGCAUUAUUGGUCUGUUCACGGUCUCCAGCACUAGCAUCGGUGGCUGCUGUGGCAUUUGUGGGGAUUGAAACAGCUGCUUGAAUCCAAGCAUGAGGAGGCAUAAGGAUGGUAGCCAGAGGUAGAUUAGUUGGCAGUUCUUGAGUGGUGAAGUUGAACAGUGGAGGUGUGUCUCACCCAUUUGGUAGUUUGACAUUUGGAUCCUGUAAUUCAUCAAAAAAUGAAUGUGCACAAACUUCCAGUGGUGCCAGUCGAGAGUUGAUGUAUAGUCCAGCAGACGGCUACACAGUGCAAUUGCUUCCAGUGGAGUUCAGGGUCAGAAGACUAUAGUCCAAGGAUGUGUCUUAAUUUGAGGGAAUUUAAAUUCUGUGUAGUUUGGGUUCACUUCUCUAAUUUGCUCCCUUGUUGGAGUUCCCAGGUCCUUGAUUAUUACAUAUAUGUAUACAGAACACACACACAAUGGAAUACUAUUUGGCAAUAAAAAGAAAUGAAGCAUUGAAACAUAUUACAAGUUGUCUGAUCCUCAAAAACAUUAUACUAAGUAAACGAAGCCAGAUGCAAAAGACAUAUAUUGCAUGAAUCUUAUAUGAAAUAUCCAAAACAGGCACAUCUAUAGAAAAAGAAAGCAGAUCAGUGGUUGUCAUAUUAUGGGUCAAAGGGGAUAAUGGGUAAGAAUAACAUAAUGGAAAAAAAAAGAAUAACAUAAUGGGUAUGAGGUGUUCUUGGGAGGUGAAGAAAUAAUUUUGGAACUAGACAGUGAUGGUGGUUGCACAACAUUGUGAGUGCAGUCCCUGAAAUUGUACACUUUAAAUGGAAUUUAAAGUAUACAAUUGGAAUUUAAAGUAUACAAUUGCCCUAGAAUUGUACACUUUAAAUGGCUAAUUGUAUGUUAUGUGAAUUUCACCUCAAUUAUUUUUAAAAUGUCUGUUGCCUAAGUCUGCCUUUUAGCUUAAAAACUUCGAGCCUGUGCAAUGCAAAUAUUCCUUGUAGUAGUGCUCUUAUAAUUUAUUUAUAGUGUCAUUCUUUAAAUAAAUGUAUACUGUGUUCUCUCACAGACUUGGCACCGGAGACACAGUGGUGACAGACACUACCUUUGCCCUCAUGAAAGUGACAAACUAGAGGUAAUAGACAUCAUAUAAGUAAGUAGAGUUCUACAAAGUAUAUAUUCUAGGGAUAGAGGAACAUAUAAAAAAUUGACAACACAGACUUAUUCUCAUGUGGGAAGAAGACCGUUGAGGUGUAGGUAAAGUUAGGGUAACGUUUCCCAAAUACACUAAAGGAUUUGUAAGAGCUCACCAGACCAAUGGGCUAGGAGCAGCCUAUGGAAAGGUGUGCAGCAAAACAGAUGCAAGUGGGCCCGUAGUUUGCCAAGGAGAACAUGGACCUCUCAACACCAGGCUGGAGAAGAGACAGGAGCCAGUUCAUGCAGCAUGUGUGUGACGCUUUAAUGAUUUCUAUCUAUAUACUAACAUCAACAGGAAGACACUCCAGGAUACAGGCUGCUUUUUAAAUGAUCUCUGUGACUGUGUGUUCUGGACUGGGGAAGAACAAGAGAUGAUGUGAAAAGACACAUGAGGAAACUAUUGCAAAGAAGUUAGGGGAAGGUAAAAUGUUCAUAACCAAAUGAAUGAUAUAUACCUCCAUUGGCAAUAAAGGACCAAAUACUUCA